UGGGGUUAUUUGUUUUUCUGGAGUCCACCU
rnacentral:piRNA from 1 species